CUUGGAACCGGGAGAGGUAAGAGGUACUACAGGGGUAGGAGUCGAAAUCUUGUAAUCCCUGUGGGACCACCUGUGGCGAAGGCGUCUUACCAGAACGGGUUCGACGGUGAGGGACGAAAGCUGGGGGCACGAACCGGAUUAGAUACCCGGGUAGUCCCAGCCGUAAACGAUGCUCGCUAGGUGUCAGGCAUGGCGCGACCGUGUCUGGUGCCGCAGGGAAGCCGUGAAGCGAGCCACCUGGGAAGUACGGCCGCAAGGCUGAAACUUAAAGGAAUUGGCGGGGGAGCACAACAAAACGGGUGGAGCCUGCGGUUUAAUUGGACUCAACGCCGGACAACUCACCGGGGCGACAGCAAUAUGUAGGCCAAGCUGAAGACUUUGCCUGAAUCGCUGAGGGGAGGUGCAUGG
rnacentral:rRNA from 1 species